rnacentral:rRNA from 1 species
AUUGAACGCUGGCGGCAGGCCUAACACAUGCAAGUCGAACGAGUGGCGGACGGGUGAGUAAUGUCUGGGAAACUGCCUGAUGGAGGGGGAUAACUACUGGAAACGGUAGCUAAUACCGCAUACCAUCAGAUGUGCCCAGAUGGGAUUAGCUAGUGGGUGGGGUAACGGCUCACCAAGGCGACGAUCCCUAGCUGGUCUGAGAGGAUGACCGGCAAACCUGAAACGGAGACACGUUCCAGACUCCUAGGGGGGGCGGCAGUGGGGAUUAUUGAACAAGGGGCGCAAGCCUGAUGCAGCCAUGCCGGGUGUAUGAAGAAGGCCUUCGGGUUGAAAAGUACUUUCAGCGGGGAGGCGUUACCCGCAGAAGAAGCACCGGCUAACUCCGUGCCAGCAGCCGCGUAAUAC